rnacentral:rRNA from 1 species
GGUUAAAAGAACCCCGGAAGGGGAGUGAAAUAGAUCCUGAAACCGUAUGCAUACAAAAAGUAGGAGCCCUUCGGGGUGACUGCGUACCUUUUGUAUAAUGGGUCAGCGACUUACAUUCAGUAGCAAGCUUAACCGAUAGGGGAGGCGUAGCGAAAGCGAGUCCGAAUAGGGCGAUUUAGUUACUGGGUGUAGACCCGAAACCAAGUGAUCUAUCCAUGGCCAGGAUGAAGGUGCCGUAACAGGUACUGGAGGUCCGAACCCACAAAUGUUGAAAAAUUUGGGGAUGAGCUGUGGAUAGGGGUGAAAGGCCAAACAAACCCGGAGAUAGCUGGUUCUCUCCGAAAUCUAUUUAGGUAGAGCGUCGCGUAUUACUUCUGGGGGUAGAGCACUGUUAUGGCUAGCGGGUCGUCAAGGCUUAGUAAACCAUUGCAAACUCCGAAUACCAGAAAGUAUGAGCGCGGCAGACACACUGCGGGUGCUAACGUCCGUAGUGGAAAGGGAAACAACCCAGACCGUCAGCUAAGGUCCCAAAAUUAUAGUUAAGUGGGAAACGAUGUGAAAAGGCCCAGACAGCCAGGAGGUUGGCUUAGAAGCAGCCAUUCCUUUAAAGAGUGCGUAAUAGCUCACUGGUCGAGUCGGUUUGCGCGGAAGAUUUAACGGGGCUAAACUAUAUACCGAAGCUGCGGAUCGCAAUUUAUUGCGAUGGUAGGAGAGCGUUCUGUAAGCCGUUGAAGGUGAACUGUGAGGUUUGCUGGAGGUAUCAGAAGUGCGAAUGCUGACAUGAGUAACGAUAAAGGGGGUGAAAAACCCCCUCGCCAGAAGUCCAAGGUUUCCUACGCAACGUUAAUCGGCGUAGGGUUAGUCGGCCCCUAAGGCGAGGCAGAAAUGCGUAGUCGAUGGGAAACGGGUUAAUAUUCCCGUACUUCAUAUAACUGCGAUGGGAAGACGGAGUAGGUUAGCUCAGCAAGGCGAUGGUUGUCCUUGUUCAAGCGUGUAGAAAUGGUUCUUAGGAAAAUCCGGGAACCUCUAUUUCAAGGCGUGAUAACGAGCCCUCUUUUGGGCGAAGUGAGUGAGACCAUGCUUCCAGGAAAAUCCUCUAAGCUUCAGGUUAUAUGAAACCGUACCCCAAACCGACACAGGUGGACGAGAUGAGAAUUCUAAGGCGCUUGAGAGAACUCUGGUGAAGGAACUAGGCAAAAUGACACCGUAACUUCGGGAGAAGGUGUGCUCUUGUUAUGUGAUAUCACUUGCUGAUUGAGCAAAGAAGAGCUGAAAAAACUAGGUGGCUGCGACUGUUUAUUAAAAACACAGCACUCUGCAAACACGUAAGUGGACGUAUAGGGUGUGACUCCUGCCCGGUGCUUGAAGGUUAAUUGAUGAGGUUAGCGCUUGCACGAAGCUUUUGAUCGAAGCCCAAGUAAACGGCGGCCGUAACUAUAACGGUCCUAAGGUAGCGAAAUUCCUUGUCGGGUAAGUUCCGACCUGCACGAAUGGCGUAACGACGGCCACACUGUCUCCACCCGAGACUCAGUGAAAUUGAAAUCGCUGUUAAGAUGCAGUGUAUCCGCGGCUAGACGGAAAGACCCCGUGAACCUUUACUAUAGCUUCACACUGGACUUUGACCUGAUCUGUGUAGGAUAGGUGGGAGACUUUGAAGCGUUAUCGCUAGAUAGCGU